UGAUCUCUGAAUGAGAAGACCACUGCCUCCUCCUCUUUUGUUUUUAUGGUGGAAGUGUGGCCAGGUUCAGGGCUUGGCCACCACUGCUAAGGGUUCAGGGGAGGGUGAAGGAGGCCGACUGAUGCUCUCCCAAGACCACAAGAGGUGGAAACCUCUUGAGAGUCAGCCCCUGGUUCUCAGUGACUCCAGCUUCUACGGAAUUUUCAGGUGAGGGAGGCAGGGGGCCUGGGUAAUGGUGAUGCAGGGUUCCCGAGACAGCAUCCAGGAACUGCUACACUUAUUUCAGUUAAAGCAUCAGGUGUCCCCUAAGAGCAACAGUUCCCAGUCAGUGCCCACAAGGCGCCACAGAGCCCCUUGCCCUAAAACCUUGGAGGGACUAUCAGGCCCCUCUGCCUCCCCCCAGCCCCGGCAUGUCCCUGCCUGUCUGCUUCCUAUUGUAACUUCCAAGCCAGCCUUCCUUUAAAGGAAAAGGAGCUUAGAAACCAACAUUCUAGAAGAUGCACUUGGGCCUGGGUUAACUAAUUCAGAUGCCCUAAGAGCCAGUCAGUCCAGAGACUGGGCUGGUCAAGGGUUAUGAGUGACCUACACAGUAGGCUGGUUGGUGGCCUCCAGAUAACUAAGCGUGAGCUGACAGAAGGUUCCAGACUCCUGGACUUUCUCUGGCUCUGAGUUAAGUGAGAAUUCUUGUUCUCUGUGACACAAGAAGAGGUUGGACAGAGACAGUCCCAACCCUGGAAUGUGGGGCUGGUGGCCCAAGAGGCCACUCACUCCGCCGGCUGGGAGGGCCCUCAGGGACUGAGAGCGUGACCCUCUCAGGUACUGCCCCCGGGUGGGAGCCACCGGAUGAUCCAGACACGGGCUCUGAGUGUUCACAUCCAGAGGUCUCCCCGUCUCCACGCUUCGUGGCAGCGAAGACCCAGACGAACCAGUCGGGGAAAAAAGCUCCGGCCUCCGUGGUCCGAUGCGCCACCCUCUUACACCGCACCCCUCCAGCCACCCAAACCCAGACGUUCCGCACUCCAAAUUCGGGAUCUCCGGCGAGCAAGGCAACCGCAGCAGAAAGCGCUUUUAGUCGGAGAGUAGAAGGCAAAGCACAAAACCACUUUGAAGAGACGAACAGCAGUUCGCAGAACUCCAGCGAAACUGCAAGUCCCCUGAUUUCCAACCCUUUCCCUCUCCUACAGAAACCCUAUACCUGCGGCGCCUGUGGGAUCCAGUUCCAGUUCUACAACAACCUGUUGGAGCACAUGCAAUCCCACGCAGCUGACAAUGAAAACAACAUCGCCUCCAACCAGUCCCGAUCGCCACCUGCUGUUGUAGAAGAGAAGUGGAAACCUCAGGCCCAGAGGAACAGCGCCAAUAACACCACUACCAGUGGUUUAACACCCAACAGCGUGAUCCCCGAAAAGGAGCGGCAGAACAUCGCAGAGCGGCUGUUGAGGGUCAUGUGCGCCGACCUGGGUGCACUGAGCGUGGUCAGCGGGAAGGAGUUCCUGAAGUUGGCCCAGACCUUAGUAGACAGUGGUGCCCGCUAUGGGGCCUUCUCGGUCACUGAAAUCCUGGGCAACUUCAACACGCUGGCACUGAAGCACCUGCCACGCAUGUACAACCAGGUGAAGGUGAAAGUGACCUGUGCCUUGGGCAGCAAUGCCUGCCUAGGCAUCGGUGUCACCUGCCACUCCCAGAGUGUGGGCCCUGACUCCUGCUACAUCCUCACAGCCUACCAGGCCGAGGGCAACCACAUCAAGAGCUAUGUGCUUGGUGUGAAGGGUGCAGACAUUCGUGACAGCGGCGACCUCGUGCACCACUGGGUGCAGAACGUGCUGUCGGAGUUCGUGAUGUCGGAGAUCAGGACAGUGUAUGUGACGGAUUGCCGGGUGAGCACGUCCGCCUUCUCCAAGGCUGGCAUGUGCCUUCGCUGCUCAGCCUGUGCCUUGAACUCGGUGGUGCAGAGCGUGCUGAGCAAGCGGACGCUGCAGGCCCGCAGCAUGCACGAGGUCAUCGAGCUGCUCAACGUGUGCGAGGACCUGGCAGGCUCCACGGGCCUGGCCAAGGAGACCUUCGGGUCGCUGGAGGAGAUGUCGCCACCGCCCUGCUGGAACUCGGUGACGGACUCACUGUUGCUGGUGCAUGAGCGCUACGAGCAGAUCUGCGAGUUCUACAGCCGGGCCAAGAAGAUGAACCUCAUCCAGAGCCUCAACAAGCACCUGCUCAGCAACCUGGCGGCCAUCCUGACGCCGGUGAAGCAGGCAGUCAUCGAGCUGAGCAACGAGAGCCAGCCCACCCUGCAGCUGGUGCUGCCCACCUAUGUCAGGCUGGAGAAGCUGUUCACGGCCAAGGCCAACGACGCAGGCACCGUCAGCAAGCUCUGCCACCUCUUCCUGGAGGCGCUCAAGGAGAACUUCAAGGUGCACCCAGCCCACAAGGUGGCCAUGAUCCUGGACCCGCAGCAGAAGCUGCGGCCUGUGCCACCCUACCAGCACGAGGAGAUCAUCGGCAAGGUCUGCGAGCUCAUCAAUGAGGUGAAGGAGUCCUGGGCCGAGGAGGCCGACUUCGAGCCUGCUGCCAAGAAGCCCCGCUCUGCCACUGGCGAGAACCCCACAGCUCAGGAAGAUGAUCGGCUGGGCAAAAAUGAAGUGUACGAUUACCUGCAGGAGCCCCUCUUCCAGGCUACCCCUGAUCUCUUCCAGUACUGGUCGUGCGUUACCCAAAAGCACACAAAACUCGCCAAGCUCGCCUUCUGGCUCCUGGCGGUUCCGGCCGUGGGCGCCAGAAGCGGGUGUGUAAAUAUGUGUGAACAAGCGCUUCUAAUCAAACGGAGGCGGCUGCUCAGUCCAGAAGAUAUGAAUAAACUCAUGUUUCUGAAAUCCAACAUGCUUUAAGACUUGACUUCGGGGAAAAAAAAAAGAAAAAGAGAAGAUAACAUUAGAAAAAAA
rnacentral:sRNA from 1 species